rnacentral:rRNA from 1 species
UGGGGAAUUUUGGACGAAUUGGGGGCAACCCGUGAUCCAGCAAUGCCGCGUGUGUGAAGAAGGCCUUCGGGUUGUAAAGCACUUUUGUCCGGAAAGAAAACGUCGUGGUUAAUACCCGUGGCGGCUGACGGUACCGGAAGAAUAAGCACCGGCUAACUACGUGCCAGCAGCCGCGGUAAUACGUAGGGUGCAAGCGUUAAUCGGAAUUACUGGGCGUAAAGCGUGCGCAGGCGGUCCGCUAAGACAGAUGUGAAAUCCCCGGGCUUAACCUGGGAACUGCAUUUGUGACUGGCGGGCUAGAGUAUGGCAGAGGGGGGUAGAAUUCCACGUGUAGCAGUGAAAUGCGUAGAGAUGUGGAGGAAUACCGAUGGCGAAGGCAGCCCCCCUGGGCCAAUACUGACGCUCAUGCACGAAAGCGUGGGGGAGCAAACAGGAUUAGAUACCCUGGUAGUCCACGCCCUAAACGAUGUCAACUAUGUUGUCGGGUCUUGCAUUGACUUGGUAACGUAGCUAACGCGUGAAGUUGACCGCCUGGGGAGUACGGUCGCAGAUU